rnacentral:rRNA from 1 species
GGGUUAAGUCCCGUAACGAGCGCAACCCUUGUCCUUAGUUACCAGCACGUUAUGGUGGGCACUCUAAGGAGACUGCCGGUGACAACCGGAGGAAGUGGGGAUGACGUCAAGUCAUCAUGGCCCUUACGGCCUGGGCUACACACGUGCUACAAUGGUCGGUACAAAGGGUUGCCAAGCCGCGAGGUGGAGCUAAUCCCAUAAAACCGAUCGUAGUCCGGAUCGCAGUCUGCAACUCGACUGCGUGAAGUCGGAAUCGCUAGUAAUCGUGAAUCAGAAUGUCACGGUGAAUACGUUCCCGGGCCUU